rnacentral:snoRNA from 2 species
GCUAUGAUGAAUAAAAGGCAUUGAUCAGGUCUUGAACUGAUAAAGCCAUUUUGUCCUCUAAGAAGUUCUGAGCUU